UUUGAUCUAGCUAGUGAAGAGAUAACAGAAGUUUCCCAUGUUUGUAAUUGUUUUACAGUCAUUUCUUAGAGGGCCAUGAAGCAAGGUGAAGAUGAUGAUGAUGAUACAGUACCAAAGAGCAAAGAGAGGAUGCAGAAAAGUGACUGAGUUUUGGUAACUGCUUACAACAACAACCAAGUAAAGAAUAUGUAACAGCAUAUGAUACACUUAGUGGAACUUGAGACUGGUCAAGACAUUGUUGUUGACAGGGUCUGCAAGAUGAUCUAAGAGGUUUUGGUAUGGCCCAACACCUGUCACAAGAGCUUGAAUAAAGUAACCCAAAAUUGCCAACAUAGCCAACCUUCCAUUCUUCACCUCCUUCAGCUUCAAAUCCUUCAAGGAUUUCUCAUCUUUCCCAAAACCAAGAG
rnacentral:lncRNA from 1 species